GAUGAACGCUAGCUACAGGCUUAACACAUGCAAGUCGAGGGGCAGCAUGACCUAGCGAUAGGUUGAUGGCGACCGGCGCACGGGUGAGUAACACGUAUCCAACCUACCGGUUAUUCCGGGAUAGCCUUUCGAAAGAAAGAUUAAUACCGGAUAGUAUAACGAGAAGGCAUCUUCUUGUUAUUAAAGAAUUUCGAUAACCGAUGGGGAUGCGUUCCAUUAGUUUGUUGGCGGGGUAACGGCCCACCAAGACAUCGAUGGAUAGGGGUUCUGAGAGGAAGGUCCCCCACAUUGGAACUGAGACACGGUCCAAACUCCUACGGGAGGCAGCAGUGAGGAAUAUUGGUCAAUGGACGAGAGUCUGAACCAGCCAAGUAGCGUGAAGGAUGACUGCCCUAUGGGUUGUAAACUUCUUUUAUAUGGGAAUAAAGUGAGCCACGUGU
rnacentral:rRNA from 1 species